AUGCCCGGGCUCUCUAAAGACACUGCCUGGUGUUUGAGCAGAGGCAAUAGGUGCUUCCCAGAUAACUUCGAGGGAGGACCCCACGCCCAGAGGAGAUGCACGCACGUCCCGCUCGCCCUGCCAGCUCCUCCCCGGCGUCCCCGGCCACCGCUGCAUCCCCAGCCCCAUCCCGCAGCCAGCGCCUCGCUCGCCGAGGGUGAAGGCCAGCGUGGCUCCUGGGCACAUGAGCGCCUCUCCACCACCGCCCGCCAGCCGGGACCCCGGGGCCAUGCAGUCCCCCCGCAUAGCGGGGAGGAAGCGAGGGCGACCCCCGCUCCAGCCUGCGCCCAUCAAGGUGGCUGUGCACAACCUCUUCUCUGCACCGGCUGGGGCUCUGCCGCUCGUGAAGAUCCCAAAGAAGAGAGGGAGGAAGCCCGGGCACAAGGUAGAUACGUGGUUUUCAUGCUCCUUCUCCUCUUCCUGCUGUUUGUAGUGGGUUUUGCCCUAGGAUUUCAGGUGCAGUGGAGGAACGGAGGCUGUGUUGUGUAAGUGUUGGGUGGAGCGACACAAGGAAAACAAGAGAAGCAGGUUUCUCUUCCACAUGAGCUGCUGAAAAAAUAGAGGAAAUUUUCUUUUAGAAGUUUAAAAAUGUUUUAAUUUGAGGUGUUUGGAAAUAACAUGUGAGAACACCUCAGCCCGUGGGAAGACAGGACUGUGAUGCUGCAGGAAGGGAAUUUACUCCAGGGAGUGAAAAAGAGCUGUGUUCGAGCGAAAUGUCCUGCUGCCAAUAAAUCACUGUGUUAUUUUCCA
rnacentral:lncRNA from 1 species